AAAUUGUCAACUCGUCAUGGGACCUACACCCUUUCAGAGGCACUUUGAGGACAUCAUUGCCGAUGCACCUGUGCAGGAUAAGGGGGAGUCAAAUGAGUACUACUCUCCCACAUUUAUGCCAAAUCUGGUGAAGCACUUCCUGCCUCAGGCUCCUCUCUGGUCCGCACUUAUGCUGGGAGAUUUGAGCCACCAUGGAAAGGGUCCUGUCUAACAAAAUCUGUCAAAGAAAUUUGAGAGAUGCUGUCAGCUGGACACACAGAAUUAUACCAGUGACAAUAAAACACAAGGCAUCAUGGAGAAAAGCCAGUGGGAUCUGAAGCGUGUGCGCUUUCAAAGACGUCGAUUCACAAGAAUGGACGAUUUUGUCCAUAUUUAUCAAAAAACACAUUGUGCCUUGCUUAAGGAGUUUUCAGAUUCCAUCCACAAAAAAAAGUAUUAAUUUGUCUUGUAAAUACUACAAUUGCCUUGAAGUAUUACAUAAUCAUGUACUCUAUAGUGUCUCUAAACUUUUCUCUGUAGAGACACAAGGUGGACGUUGAGCGCUGGAGACAAAGAAGUCAGUCCAGGAAAGGCAUUUAUGUAUCACCAUUACUAAAGGCUUUCCCUUUCAAGAAAACCAAAACAGUAGGAUGAUGUUAAUAUUUUGUAUACCUCAGUAUUUUGAUACAGUCCAUACCACAGAACAGAAAUUCUUAUGAUAUGCAUAAUGUACUUUUUUAUGCAGCCCAGACUGCUGACAAAGACAACUGGAUCAAGGGCAACAAACAAAGAAGAAAUUUGUGAG